rnacentral:rRNA from 1 species
ACCCGCUGAACUUAAGCAUAUCAAUAAGCGGAGGAAAAGAAACCAACAGGGAUUGCCUCAGUAACGGCGAGUGAAGCGGCAAAAGCUCAAAUUUGGAAUCUGGCUCUUUCAGGGUCCGAGUUGUAAUUUGUAGAAGAUGCUUCGGGUGUGGUCCCGGUCUAAGUUCCUUGGAACAGGACGUCAUAGAGGGUGAGAAUCCCGUAUGUGACUGGGUACCUACGCUCAUGUGAAGCUCUUUCGACGAGUCGAGUUGUUUGGGAAUGCAGCUCAAAAUGGGUGGUAAAUUUCAUCUAAAGCUAAAUAUUGGCCAGAGACCGAUAGCGCACAAGUAGAGUGAUCGAAAGAUGAAAAGCACUUUGGAAAGAGAGUUAAACAGUACGUGAAAUUGUUGAAAGGGAAGCGCUUGCAAUCAGACUUGCGCCUAGUCGAUCAUCCGGGCUUCUGCCCGGUGCACUCGAUUAGGCUCAGGCCAGCAUCGGUUUGGGUGGUUGGAUAAAGGCUUGGGGAACGUAGCCUCCUUCGGGGGGUGUUAUAGCCCCAGGUGCAAUGCAGCCUACCUGGACCGAGGACCGCGCUUCGGCUAGGAUGCUGGCGUAAUGGUUGU